CAAAAAAUAGUUUAUUUAGAAUAUUAACAUUGGAAGUUAAAGGUUAAAAGUAUAAUUUUAUUUUUUGA
rnacentral:tRNA from 1 species